rnacentral:rRNA from 1 species
UACGUAGGGGGCAAGCGUUGUCCGGAAUCAUUGGGCGUAAAGAGCGUGUAGGCGGCCCGAUAAGUCCGCUCUGAAAGCCCGGGGCUCAACCCCGGGAGGCGGGUGGAUACUGUCAAGCUCGAGUCCGGAAGAGGCGAGUGGAAUUCCUGGUGUAGCGGUGAAAUGCGCAGAUAUCAGGAGGAACACCAAUGGCGAAGUCAGCUCGCUGGGACGUGACUGACGCUGAGACGCGAAAGCGUGGGGAGCAAACAGG